rnacentral:rRNA from 1 species
ACGUAGGGGGCGAGCGUUGUCCGGAUUUAUUGGGCGUAAAGAGCUCGUAGGCGGUUUGGUAAGUCGGAUGUGAAAUCUCCACGCUCAACGUGGAGGGGCCAUUCGGUACUGCCAUGACUAGAGUCCGGUAGAGGAGUGUGGAAUUCCCGGUGUAGCGGUGAAAUGCGCAGAGAUCGGGAGGAACACCCGUAGCGAAGGCGGCACUCUGGGCCGGUACUGACGCUGAGGAGCGAAAGCGUGGGGAGCGAACAGGAUUAGAUACCCUGGUAGUCCACGCCGUAAACGUUGGGCACUAGGUGUGGGGCGCUAUCGACGCGUUCCGUGCCGUAGCUAACGCAUUAAGUGCCCCGCCUGGGGAGUACGGCCGCAAGGCUA